UACGGGGGGGGCAAGCGUUGUUCGGAAUUACUGGGCGUAAAGGGCUCGUAGGUGGCCAACUAAGUCAGACGUGAAAUCCCUCGGCUUAACCGAGGAACUGCGUCCGAUACUGAAAGGCUUGAAUCCGGGAGAGGGAUGUGGAAUUCCAGGUGUAGCGGUGAAAUGCGUAGAUAUCUGGAGGAACACCGGUGGCGAAGGCGGCAUCCUGGACCGGCAUUGACGCUGAGGCGCGAAAGCCAGGGGAGCGAACGGG
rnacentral:rRNA from 1 species